UCUUUCCGCGGCUGUGGCUGACUUACAGUCUGUACCCGCAUUUGCCUGUGUCCCACCCCUUAGCACAGUGACCAAGGAAACCACAGAAACUUGGCCAGGGUACAGUCGGCAAGGGAGCAAGCCUUGGAAAUCGCAGAAAAAUUGCGACUGCCAGGGCUCGAACCUACGCCUGAGCGACUGUUGUACGGACAGAUGGGAAGAGCA